GGAUAGCCCGGAGAAAUUCGGAUUAAUACCCCAUAAUGAUAUCGGAAGGCAUCUUUUGAUAUUUAAAGUUUCGACGGUACGGGAUGGGCAUGCGUGACAUUAGCUAGUUGGUAGGGUAACGGCCUACCAAGGCUACGAUGUCUAGGGGUCCUGAGAGGGUGAUCCCCCACACUGGUACUGAGACACGGACCAGACUCCUACGGGAGGCAGCAGUGAGGAAUAUUGGUCAAUGGGCGUAAGCCUGAACCAGCCAUCCCGCGUGCAGGAAGAAGGCGCUAUGCGUCGUAAACUGCUUUUCCAGGGGAAGAAAACCCGAUACGUGUAUCGGCUUGCCGGUACCCUGGGAAUAAGCAUCGGCUAACUCCGUGCCAGCAGCCGCGGUAAUACGGAGGAUGCGAGCGUUAUCCGGAUUUAUUGGGUUUAAAGGGUGCGUAGGCGGAUUAAUAAGUCAGUGGUGAAAACCUUCAGCUUAACUGGAGACUUGCCAUUGAUACUGUUAGUCUUGAGUACGGUCAAGGUAGGCGGAAUGUGUAAUGUAGCGGUGAAAUGCUUAGAUAUUACACAGAACACCGAUUGCGAAGGCAGCUUACUGGACCAAUACUGACGCUGAGGCACGAAAGCGUGGGGAGCGAACAGGAUUAGAUACCCUGGUAGUCCACGCCGUAAACGAUGAUCACUCGCUGUUAGCGAUACACAGUUAGCGGCUAAGCAAAA
rnacentral:rRNA from 1 species